UAAAGUAAAAACACACAUCUCAGUAGCGUGGUAUUUUUUUAUUAUAUAUGUAUGAAACACUUAAAUCACAAUAGAAACAAUACAAGUCAUAUGGUGUAUGCAGUGCAUACAAUUUACAUGCAUAUAAUGUGAAAUCACAUAACAGUCAUCGAAUAUCAGCCUACAUAUUAUACAAGGGAUCACAUAUAUAUCUGUUCUGUCUGAUCAGGCUACCCAGAAUCCUUUUUCCCUGAGGUCACAUGACAAUCUCAGAACCCCCUACCCCACCAUAGGACAUUCAUAAUUUGCCAGCCUGAACAAACUACAUAAUGUAUACAUAAGGUUUAUGUACAUUGCUAGACAUGUUCGUGGUGACCUAAUGUAUGUACUGUAACUCUGUUAUCGGCCAUUCUGAGAAUCCAUACAAUAGUGCUGUGUGAAAUUGACCUGGGAAAGGGAAUAAUGUGGCAUUAAUGGAUGACUUGUUUACAUUCUCUGUUUUCAAUUUGAUAACCGAAGAAAAAAAAAUACCCAAUCACUGACCCCGUAUAAAAUUUAGAAUUCCAGUUUAAGGUAUUUACAUUGAAAUUAAUGGAGGACUGGACCAGAACUAACAAAAUAAUAAACUGAAAGGGUGCUAAGGCACGGCAAAGUACCUAGUC